rnacentral:rRNA from 1 species
AUUGAACGCUGGCGGAAUGCUUUACACAUGCAAGUCGAACGGCAGCACGGACUUCGGUCUGGUGGCGAGUGGCGAACGGGUGAGUAAUAUAUCGGAACGUGCCCAGUCGUGGGGGAUAACGUAGCGAAAGCUACGCUAAUACCGCAUACGAUCUACGGAUGAAAGCGGGGGAUCGCAAGACCUCGCGCGAUUGGAGCGGCCGAUAUCAGAUUAGGUAGUUGGUGAGGUAAAGGCUCACCAAGCCGACGAUCUGUAGCUGGUCUGAGAGGACGGCCAGCCACACGGGGACUGGUACACGGCCCAGACUCCUACGGGAGGCAGCAGUGGGGAAUUUUGGACAAUGGACGCAAGUCUGAUCCAGCCAUUCCGCGUGCAGGACGAAGGCCUUCGGGUUGUAAACUGCUUUUGUACAGAACGAAAAGGUCUCUAUUAAUACUAGGGGCUCAUGACGGUACUGUAAGAAUAAGCACCGGCUAACUACGUGCCAGCCGCCGCGGUAA